UGACAGAAUAAUUGGAUGUGCGGUUUUGUAUGAGUACCGCAUAAAAAGUUUUCGACACGAAGCCAAGCAAAAUAUUGGGCAACUCUGAUCUUUUUACGCUAUGCCAAGCAACGUCAUUUUGAUUAAAGAGAGACACUAAUCAAAGCGUUAAUUGUGGCAUACCCUUAUCGCUCAAACAAUCACCGACGCAAAAUCGUGGACCGAACCAGCUGAAAGUGAAAAAUCGUGUAUAUAAAUAGAACAAUGGCAACAUUGGUGAAAUGGAAACAAAAGAGAACAACUGCUUUCUGCGUUGCAACCACGGGCAUAACUUUUGACAAAUUUGAUUUGAUACGGGUGGUAUGCUGGAAAGGGAGGAAUGUCGUUGACUGUUUGAGCUAUUAAUCUUAUGUCCUUCUUUGUUUCAGUAUGAGCCAGAGAUAAAGAGAUGCCCAACUCAUCUCUCACUGGAAAUGAGAUGUAGUUGCUAAACUCCAAAACCUA